GUUGUUCUCAUAGAUAUGAAUGAGUAGAUAGGACACGCCCCUUUGAGCUGCGUGCUACAGCGAGGCUAAGCUAGUGGGAGCAAAGUUUCAGUGCAUUCCGUUGAUGUAGACGGCGUGAAAACGGAAACAAGUAUGCCAGCUCACUGUGCUGCAUACAGUUACACACUGCGUCGUACGAUUGAGACAAGGAAACUUGGAAUGACUUUUCAUAGGUUUCCCAGAGACUAUGGGUUGAGGAGGAAUUGGAAGUUUGUCGGCUUAGACCUGGUGUCAUUCCAUCAGUGUUAAACUUCCCGGCUCAUCUUGGAAGAGUACGUGCCAGAAAGACCACGACCAAGCAGCCUUGAGAUCUUAGGCAGCAUCUCCCUGAGACCAAAGAACUACAGACUCUUCACAACCUGCUCAAACUCUUGGUACAGGACCUCACCACACGGGUCAAGAAGGUUUCCAUCUCAUUUCUACUCUGAAGCUCACCUUCUCCUGCUCAAACUGCUGACAAAUGUUUCUGCUGCUCUAAAGUCUGGUCUCCAGAACUUCCUAAAAACUCUCAAAGUCUCUUCUGCUGCAGGUUGCUUUGUAGAACUGUUCCAGAAAACCUCACUAAACCACAUGGAGGGGCCUCAAGAUAGUCGUCCAAAUGAAACCAUACAAAAACCAAACUAGCACAACCCAAAUGCUAAAGUCUCCUGCAGCCUACCAGAGAACCUCUGAGAACAGAGAAUCAGGACAGGAAUUCUUACCUUCUGGACAACCAACAUCGGUUCUCAAACAAGAACACAGAAUGUGUCUGACCAAAAACCUCUA